UACAAAAAUAAUUUAUGGUGUCACUAUUUAUGGUGUCACUUUUAAAAUAAUGACACUAUAUGGUUUAUAAUUAAUAAAGGUGACACAUCAUAUAAAAAAUCUUCAAUUGAGGUAGUUAGAUGAUGUUAGUUUUAUAUUUAUAGUGUCAUUUUUUGGGAAGUGACAUCGUAUAAAAUAAAAAUUUUUAAGUAUUAUAACUUAACGAGCCCACUUUUAGAAUUAAUAAUGAGGAAUAAUAUAUAAAAAGCCCAUUGUAACUGUCCUCUUGUAUUUCUCCAUGUAAACCUUUCCGUCCAAUAUCACUAGCCUGAAGAAUAGUGGGUUCUUCGCUGCUUCCAUCAUCUCUUUGGUGAUUCCGGUCUCCACCCAUGGACGGAGAUCCUCGUAGAUCCACCGGAAGUAGUCCAGACAUGCAUUACUAGAGAGUGGGUGUUGUUUGGUUGAGAAUAUAAAUUUGUGCUCGACAAGAUCGAAACCCUCUCAGAUCUGUCGGAUCCAAAUUCGAACUCGCCAGUGUUCGGAUUAUCGAUUUUCGAUGUGGAAUUCGUUUUGCAGCCUCUUUUGCUGGCUCUUGAUUCGGCCUCUGCGAAGGUCAUGGAGCCGCCGUUGGAGUGGUUGUUCAAGUUGUAUUCGCUAGGGCUGAUCCGUGGCGUGAUUGAUGGGAAGGGGAUGAUAGAGGCGGUGUGUAAAUCGGCCGGCAAUGGCGAGGACGCGGUCGACCUCGUCAUGCUUAAGGUAUACACUCUUGGGAUGGUGGAAUGGAGAAUAAAAAGAAAGAAGACAACAAGAUUUUGGGUUUUUAAAUGCAACUCUUAUGUCAUAUGUUGUAGGACAUAAAUGUUACUUUAAUUGGUACUGAGAAUUUUAGAUUUUUAGAUGCGACUUUUAUGUCAUUUUAUAGUUAGCCGAUUUUAUGCUUAUGAAAUGGAUGUAUACACGAAUCUUGGUAUCUUUAACAUUUCAUCAUGUUUUGGUAUGUAUUCACUCUUCUUUUUUA